rnacentral:rRNA from 1 species
GAGUCUAACAUGUGCGCGAGUCAUUGGGAGACUCAAACCUAAAGGCGCAAUGAAAGUAAAGGUCAGCCUAGCGCUGACCGAGGGAGGAUGGGUCGCGUCACGAUGCGGCCCCGCACUCCCGGGGCGUCUCGUUCUCAUUGCGAGAAGAGGCGCACCCAGAGCGUACACGUUGGGACCCGAAAGAUGGUGAACUAUGCCUGGUCAGGACGAAGUCAGGGGAAACCCUGAUGGAGGUCCGUAGCGAUUCUGACGUGCAAAUCGAUCGUCGGAACUGGGUAUAGGGGCGAAAGACUAAUCGAACCAUCUAGUAGCUGGUUCCCUCCGAAGUUUCCCUCAGGAUAGCUGGCACUCGCGUACAAAAUGUACACGAGUCUCAUCCGGUAAAGCGAAUGAUUAGAGGCCUUGGGGCCGAAACGACCUCAACCUAUUCUCAAACUUUAAAUGGGUGAGAUCUCUGGCUUGCUUGAACUAUGAAGCCAUGAGAUCUCGGAU